AACCUUACCAGGUCUUGACAUCCCGAUGCUAUUUCUAGAGAUAGAAAGUUACUUCGGUACAUCGGUGACAGGUGGUGCAUGGUUGUCGUCAGCUCGUGUCGUGAGAUGUUGGGUUAAGUCCCGCAACGAGCGCAACCCCUAUUGUUAGUUGCCAUCAUUCAGUUGGGCACUCUAGCGAGACUGCCGGUAAUAAACCGGAGGAAGUGGGAUGACGUCAAAUCAUCAUGCCCCUUAUGACCUGGGCUACACACGUGCUACAAUGGUUGGUACAACGAGUUGCGAGUCGGUGACGGCGAGCUAAUCUCUUAAAGCCAAUCUCAGUUCGGAUUGUAGGCUGCAACUCGCCUACAUGAAGUCGGAAUCGCUAGUAAUCGCGGAUCAGCACGCCGCGGUGAAUACGUUCCCGGGCCUU
rnacentral:rRNA from 1 species